rnacentral:rRNA from 1 species
AUUGGUGCUUGCAUCAUGAUUUACAUUUGAGUGAGUGGCGAACUGGUGAGUAACACGUGGGAAACCUGCCCAGAAGCGGGGGAUAACACCUGGAAACAGAUGCUAAUACCGCAUAACAACUUGGACCGCAUGGUCCGAGYUUGAAAGAUGGCUUCGGCUAUCACUUUUGGAUGGKCCCSCGGCGUAUUAGCUAGAUGGKGRGGUAACGGCUCACCAUGGCAAUGAUACGUAGCCSACCUGAGAGGGUAAUCSGCCACAUUGGGACUGARACACGGCCCAAACUCCUACGGGAGGSAGCAGUAGGGAAUCUUCCACAAUGGACGAAAGUCUGAUGGAGCAACSCCSCGUGAGUGAARAAGGG